AGCGAGAGGAGGCGCCGCGUGCGUCCAGCGCUCUCUGGAUCUGCAGCCCCUUCGCGCCGGGAGCAUCGCUGCCCCCGCAUGCCGCAGGACUUCUCAUUCCCAAGCCUUGGCCGAAUGGAGGAGGAGGAGGCAGUGAGGAAGAUGCCCCGGGAGCCCCAGGCAGGCACUGAGCUGCAGAUGGAGACCAGGGAGGAC